rnacentral:tRNA from 1 species
GCAGUUAUCGGUGGUUCAGUGGUAGAAUGCUCGCCUGCCACGCGGGCGGCCCAGGUUCGAUUCCCGGCCACUGCA